GGCGUGCUUACACAUGCAGUCGAACGAUGAUGCCCAGCUUGCUGGGCGGAUUAGUGGCGAACGGGUGAGUAAUACGUGAGUAACCUGCCCUUGACUCUGGGAUAAGCCUGGGAAACUGGGUCUAAUACUGGAUACUACCUCUUACCGCAUGGUGGGUGGUGGAAAGGGUUUUACUGGUUUUGGAUGGGCUCACGGCCUAUCAGCUUGUUGGUGGGGUAAUGGCUCACCAAGGCGACGACGGGUAGCCGGCCUGAGAGGGUGACCGGCCACACUGGGACUGAGACACGGCCCAGACUCCUACGGGAGGCAGCAGUGGGGAAUAUUGCACAAUGGGCGGAAGCCUGAUGCAGCGACGCCGCGUGAGGGAUGACGGCCUUCGGGUUGUAAACCUCUUUCAGUAGGGAAGAAGCGAGAGUGACGGUACCUGCAGAAGAAGCGCCGGCUAACUACGUGCCAGCAGCCGCGGUAAUACGUAGGGCGCAAGCGUUGUCCGGAAUUAUUGGGCGUAAAGAGCUCGUAGGCGGUUUGUCGCGUCUGCUGUGAAAGCCCGGGGCUCAACCCCGGGUCUGCAGUGGGUACGGGCAGACUAGAGUGCAGUAGGGGAGACUGGAAUUCCUGGUGUAGCGGUGAAAUGCGCAGAUAUCAGGAGGAACACCGAUGGCGAAGGCAGGUCUCUGGGCUGUUACUGACGCUGAGGAGCGAAAGCAUGGGGAGCGAACAGGAUUAGAUACCCUGGUAGUCCAUGCCGUAAACGUUGGGCACUAGGUGUGGGGGACAUUCCACGUUUUCCGCGCCGUAGCUAACGCAUUAAGUGCCCCGCCUGGGGAGUACGGCCGCAAGGCUAAAACUCAAAGGAAUUGACGGGGGCCCGCACAAGCGGCGGAGCAUGCGGAUUAAUUCGAUGCAACGCGAAGAACCUUACCAAGGCUUGACAUUCACCGGACUACCCCAGAGAUGGGGUUUCCCUUCGGGGCUGGUGGACAGGUGGUGCAUGGUUGUCGUCAGCUCGUGUCGUGAGAUGUUGGGUUAAGUCCCGCAACGAGCGCAACCCUCGUUCUAUGUUGCCAGCACGUGAUGGUGGGGACUCAUAGGAGACUGCCGGGGUCAACUCGGAGGAAGGUGGGGAUGACGUCAAAUCAUCAUGCCCCUUAUGUCUUGGGCUUCACGCAUGCUACAAUGGCCGGUACAAAGGGUUGCGAUACUGUGAGGUGGAGCUAAUCCCAAAAAGCCGGUCUCAGUUCGGAUUGAGGUCUGCAACUCGACCUCAUGAAGUCGGAGUCGCUAGUAAUCGCAGAUCAGCAACGCUGCGGUGAAUACGUUCCCGGGCCUUGUACACACCGCCCGUCAAGUCACGAAAGUUGGUAACACCCGAAGCCGGUGGCCUAACCCCUUGUGGGAGGGAGCCGUCGAAGGUGACUGCC
rnacentral:rRNA from 1 species